rnacentral:rRNA from 1 species
AGUGAACGCUGGCGGCAGGCCUAACACAUGCAAGUCGAGCGGCAGCGGGUCCUUCGGGAUGCCGGCGAGCGGCGGACGGGUGAGGAAUGCAUCGGAAUCUGCCCUGCCGUGGGGGAUAACCUAGGGAAACUUAGGCUAAUACCGCAUACGACCCACGGGUGAAAGCGGGGGAUCGCAAGACCUCGCGCGAUAGGAUGAGCCGAUGUCCGAUUAGCUAGUUGGCGGGGUAAAGGCCCACCAAGGCGACGAUCGGUAGCUGGUCUGAGAGGAUGAUCAGCCACACUGGGACUGAGACACGGCCCAGACUCCUACGGGAGGCAGCAGUGGGGAAUAUUGGACAAUGGGCGCAAGCCUGAUCCAGCCAUGCCGCGUGGGUGAAGAAGGCCUUCGGGUUGUAAAGCCCUUUUGUCCGGGAAGAAAUCGUCUGGGCUAAUACCCCGGGCGGAUGACGGUACCGGAAGAAUAAGCACCGGCUAACUUCGUG